UACAGAGGGUGCGAGCGUUAAUCGGAAUUACUGGGCGUAAAGCGUGCGCAGGCGGUUAUGUAAGACAGAUGUGAAAUCCCCGGGCUCAACCUGGGAACUGCAUUUGUGACUGCAUAGCUAGAGUACGGUAGAGGGGGAUGGAAUUCCGCGUGUAGCAGUGAAAUGCGUAGAUAUGCGGAGGAACACCGAUGGCGAAGGCAAUCCCCUGGACCUGUACUGACGCUCAUGCACGAAAGCAUGGGGAGCAAACAGG
rnacentral:rRNA from 1 species